AGGAGUCACUACAAGAUGGAGUCUCUGUCCCAGCUUCUCUGUGGGCUCCUGAUGCUUUGGGUCCCAGUUUCCAGGGGAGCAAUUGUGCUGACCCAGUCUCCAGCCUCGGUGUCUGUGAGCCCAGGAGAGAGAGUCACCAUCAGCUGCAAGGCCAGUCAGAGUGUUGUACACAGUGAUAGAAACACUUACCUAAGCUGGCUCCAACAGAAACCCGGCCAGUCUCCUCGGCGACUCAUUUACCAGGUUUCCAACCUGGGCUCCGGAGUCCCGGCCCGCUUCAGUGGCAGUGGUGCUGGGAAGGAUUUCACCCUCACAAUCAGCAGUGUGGAGGCUGAAGAUGGGGCAGAAUAUUACUGUGCUCAAGGAAGUUAUUCUCCGUAUACUUUCGGCGGUGGGACCAAGCUGGAAAUCAAACGAAGCGUGGCUCAACCAUCUGCCUUCAUCUUCCAGCCAUCUGAAGAGCAGUUGAAAACAGGCUCAGCCUCAGUGGUUUGCCUCGCGAACAAUUUCUACCCCAAAAAAGCCACAGUCACGUGGAAGGUCGAUAAUGUGGUGACAAACUCAAACAUCAAUACCGUCUUCACGGAACAGGACAGCAAGGACCAAACGUACAGCCUGAGCAGUACCCUGAACCUCCCUGGGUCUGAAUACAGUAGCCAUGAUCGGUAUUCCUGUGAGAUCACUCAUGAAAGCAUGUCCAGUGCCCUAGUGAAGUCUUUCCAGAGGAGCCAGUGUUCGUGAGGGGGGCGACGGGGGCCCCCAAGAGGGAACCUCCUCCACUCUAUUCCCACUCCUCAUCUCCAGCCUUUCUUCUUGCUCUCCCGUCUUCCCUGCCUGAUGAUAAAAGAUCAUUCUCCAGUCCAAAGGCCUCCGGCCUUAUCCAUUCCCACCUUCAUCUUUGCCUGCUUUAAUCAUGUCAAUAUUUGAAAGAAAAAAACCAAAUAAAAUAAAUGAAAGAAACCCUC